GAUUCUGGCUCAGGAUGAACGCUAGCUACAGGCUUAACACAUGCAAGUCGAGGGGCAGCAUGUGGUUGCUUGCAACCAAUGAUGGCGACCGGCGCACGGGUGAGUAACGCGUAUCCAACCUUCCCCUUAGUAGAGGAUAGCCCGGCGAAAGUCGGAUUAAUACUCUAUGUUCUUCAAUGCGGACAUCUAAGUUGAAGCAAAGAUUUAUCGCUAAGGGAUGGGGAUGCGUCUGAUUAGGUUGCAGGCGGGGUAACGGCCCACCUGGCCUACGAUCAGUAGGGGUUCUGAGAGGAAGGUCCCCCACACUGGUACUGAGACACGGACCAGACUCCUACGGGAGGCAGCAGUGAGGAAUAUUGGUCAAUGGGCGCGAGCCUGAACCAGCCAAGUAGCGUGCCAGGACGACUGCCCUAUGGGUUGUAAACUGCUUUUAUGCGGGGAUAAAGUGCGCCACGUGUGGCGUUUUGUAGGUACCGCAUGAAUAAGGACCGGCUAAUUCCGUGCCAGCAGCGGC
rnacentral:rRNA from 1 species